GCCGAAAAGCUAGCCCAUCCCCCCAAGAACAACAAAUCACUAUUAAUAACCCCGAAUAAGUUAACCCCUUAAUCAACAAACCAUUUUUCCCCCUUAGUAGAGGCGAUAGAAAAGGAACUACGGCGCCAUAGAGAAAGUACCGCAAGGGAAAGCUGAAAAAGAAAUGAAACAGCCCAGUUAAGCACAGAAAAGCAGAGAUUCCCCCUCGUACCUUUGGCAUCAUGA
rnacentral:rRNA from 1 species